rnacentral:tRNA from 1 species
CCCUGGUGGCUCAGAUGGUAAAGCGUCUGCCUGCAAUGCGGGAGACCCAGGUUCGAUUCCUGGAUCAGGAA